UACGGAGGGGGCUAGCGUUGUUCGGAAUUACUGGGCGUAGAGCGCACGUAGGCGGCUUUGUAAGUUAGAGGUGAAAGCCCAGGGCUUAACUCUGGAAUUGCCUUUAAGACUGCAUCGCUAGAAUCGUGGAGAGGUGAGUGGAAUUCCGAGUGUAGAGGUGAAAUUCGUAGAUAUUCGGAAGAACACCAGUGGCGAAGGCGACUCACUGGACACGUAUUGACGCUGAGGUGCGAAAGCGUGGGGAGCAAACAGG
rnacentral:rRNA from 1 species